rnacentral:rRNA from 1 species
AUUGAACGCUGGCGGCAGGCCUAACACAUGCAAGUCGAGCGGAGCGGCGGACGGGUGAGUAAUGCCUGGGAAUCUGCCUGGUAGUGGGGGAUAACGUCCGGAAACGGGCGCUAAUACCGCAUACUAUCAGAUGAGCCUAGGUCGGAUUGGCUAGUUGGUGGGGUAAAGGCCUACCACGGCGACGAUCCGUAACUGGUCUGAGAGGAUGAUCAGUCACACUGGAACUGGAACAGGGCCCAGACUCCUAGGGGGGGAAGCAUUGGGGAAUAUUGGACAAGGGGCGAAAGCCUGAUCAAGCAAUGCCGCGUGGGUGAAGAAGGUCUUCGGAUGGUAAAGCACUUUAAGUUGGGAGGCGUUACCAACAGAAUAAGCACCGGCUAACUUCGUGCCAGCAGCCGCGGUAAUUC